UGCCUUAUAACUAUUUCCAUCUCAUUUUCCAAUAAAGAUGAUUAGGUAUUGAAGUCUAAAUUGUGUCUUAAAGUUGCUUUGGUUACUCUGGAUGUAUUGAAUUUCUUCAGUUACAUUAAGAUUCAAAUUAUAGAUUUUGCAAGUUAUUAGGGGGUAUCCCAAUGGACAGGACGCCCGCGAGUGGCAGUCAUCUUGAUCUGGUGCGGUACCAUCACGAACAUCGAGACGGGGAGGCAGGCUGGAGGCCAGGGCGGCAUCGGGCAAAAGCAUGGUGAGCGUGGCUGUGGUAUUGUACCGUGAAACAGCUGUGUUUGUGGCUGUUCUGUGGUGGUGACUCGUAGCUAUUGGAGCAGGGCCAGCGUCUGAUAAGCAAGCAAUGGUUCUUGAGCGCCACUGAAGCAAGCAAUGGUGCUUGAGGUUGCGGGGCCGAGCAGAUAUACAUGAGUGGUACGCAUCUCAUUUUGUCGUCGGGUUCUAAAUGAUCCCUCGAGUUUGCAGCUAUUUGUAUUUACGUUACAAAAGCAUACAUUCAUGGUUUAUGCCCUUUUUAAGGGUCUAGCGGAACUAAAGAGAAAACCAUCAUGUAACCAAUUUUGAAAAUUGAGUUUGAGUUUGAACCAAGAAAAGUUUACCAAAGAAGACAUCAAGGAACUUAUAUUUGGGGAGAUAUUGGAGUACCACCCUUAGCUUCUGAAGGAUUACAUGAACGGCUCUGGAAAAAUGAGCUUUCCAUAUGCUAGGUUUCUGUGACAUGCUUGUAAACUUUUCUCUAUUAUUUUGUUUAUGCAGCAACAUUCACAACUUUUUCCAUUGGCUCUUGAUUUUUUUGUUAUCCAGUGAUGUUGACCAUUUCUGGAGGCAAUUCGCUGACUAAGAAGAUGUUGCUGGGAAGAGUGGGGCAGUCAACAUGAAGCGUGUUUAUCUGAGGUGGCAACUUAAAUUCUCACAUUUUUCCCGAUUGUGAUCAGUUCAAUCUAUAUAUCAGUGUAACAAUGACUUGUGCCGCCAUACGUAGCUUGUGCCAAAAUUGGUCAGAAUUACUACCAAAAUGCCUUAGUUAAUAGGCUUUCCAACAAAGCAGGCUCGUGAUAUUGCAAAGGUUUAUUCAUGCAUAAUACGAAUUAUUGUCUUGCUUCACGGAUUUUGAAAAUUGGUGAUUUUGAUUUUGGGGUGACGUAGAUUUUAGAAUUUUUCAUAUACCGACCUGGUAUUAUUUUUCCAUUUAACUUCAAACAACAUCAGUCUAACUAUUUCGUCGUUGCCACUCUGGCAGCUGGACCAGACAGAGUGGCUUCGUCACGACAUCAAUGCAAAGUGCACGUAUAACUGAUUGACACAUUGGAUGAAUAGGGAAGGGAAUUGACGUAAUACUGCUCUUGCAUGCAAGAACACCUGCAGGGGAUACAUAAUCACUUCAGGCACGCAAGGUCACAUCAGAGAUUGGCAUGCUGUCCUCGGACUAUUACAUUCCACCAUUCAGCAGCAUAGCCACAGCGGGUGGAUAUGACAUGGUUGUUGUGGCAACAAGAAUGUACUACGACAAGGGUCGGGCAAGCUUGCAGUGUCGAGCAUGAGAAGGGAGCCCGAGAACGGCUACAGUUCCUGUUCCAGGCAGAGAUUCAGGGUCCAGGGGCACAUGGUAAAAUUUAUCCCUUUUUCUGAUUUUUUUAUAGUAGAUACUGUAGGAAACAACGGCUGUCUUGUACAUAUGGCAACACUUCAUUUUCUCUGUUCUGCUGUCUGAAGCUGCUGAUGCUCCUGCUUAUGUUAAUACUAGAUAGUUUUGUCAGAGUGGACGUAGUAGUACCUAUGUUUGAGAUGAAGUUGUAGGUUGUAGAGUUUCCUUGUCUGGAUUCUAUGAUGUAAUUUAAUUAUUUUAUUUUAUUUUUCAGUUGUAGCCAACCACAUGUAAUCUUGUGAUUCCCUUCUUAUAAUGUUGAAAUAGACAUAUUUUUUUGUCAGAUAAAUAAUUUGCGUAUCAGUAACUGAUUUU
rnacentral:lncRNA from 1 species